rnacentral:piRNA from 1 species
UAGAUGUAAGGAAUUUGACCCCCUGU